GCGUGUAUCGUAUAAUGGUUAUUACCUUAGCCUUCCAAGCUAAUGAUGACGGUUCGAUUCCGUUUGCACGCU
rnacentral:tRNA from 1 species